UCUUCCCAAUCAGGCCCCACAGCAGAUGAUCCUUGAUCCUGGACCAAUACCAGCAUCACUGGGGAGCUACAGAUUCUUAAAUCUCACUCCAGGCCCAUUGAAUCUGAAAUCCUGGGCAUAGGACCCAGCCAUCUGCAUUUUAAUAACCUUUCAAGAGACUCUGCUGCACAGAAAUUUGGGAGCUCUUGACCUAGGGAAACUCCAGGCUUAUAGUCAAAUACAUGCUGAAUGGGUUCUUGGACAGUCGGUAGGACAUGGUGUAUAUUCCAAGCAGCUGGGCAAAUGGGCCUUCUCUCCACUGUCCUCGAAACUGAGUUGGGGUUAGUCAGGGACUCAGGGUCAAGUCCCAGGAAUAACUUUCAAAAUACAUACACUUUCUGCAUAGGGAGGGUCCUUAAGUCAGUGUUGGAGGGAAAGGUGGAGCCUGAGAAUUUUCUGCCCUCACAGGGCUAGCAGAGAAAGGAGGAAAAAAGAGAAUUUUCAUCCCCAGAAUGAUUUACAAACAAUGUCUCUCUGAACCAGUACUUCUAGCAGGGUAACUGGCAAAGUUACCUUAGAUUCAAGAAGAUAGGCCUGUGCCCCAAAUUACUCUUAGCAAGUGGAAACUGAGUCUCCUCAUUGAGAAGUGACACCCACCUUGCCGUCUGUCCCCAUGUUACUCACUACACUUAUCUACAUUCAGAGCUCUUAUUCACAAACAUGUAAAUAAACAAUUGUUGAAUAAAAUUGUUGGAAGAUAGGAGUGAAGGUUCUUCCAGAAUGCAAUCAAAAGAUGAGCGAUGACACUGGGCACGAUGGCACAUGCCUGUAAUCCCAGCAACUUGGGAGGCUGAGGUUAAGAGGAUCGCAAGUUUGAGGACAGCCUGAGCAACCUAGUGAGGCCCUGGGUAACUCAGUGAGAGCUGCCUCAAAAUUCAAAAAAAUAAAAAGGGCUGGGGAUGUGGCCCCUGAGUUUAAUCCCUAGUAUCCAAAAAAAAAAAGGCAAAAAAGACGAAUGAGCAUGGAGACAGAAAUACCAACACAUGAGGCUAGUUCCUGAGGUUCAACAUUGGUUCAGUAGGUCUUCCGGAAAACCAGAAAAUGAAAAAUGAUUACAGAGAUUAUAAAAGAAAACAUCUUGAUUGAUUGCACUACAUAAGAAUGGCAAACAACCACCCAUCAAAAUCCAUAGUGAAACAAUCUACAAGUUAGCAAAACAGUGUAAGAGAUAAUGUGAAGGGUGAUGGCAUUAAAUCCAAGGAAUUCGUAGAAAAGACUCAGUCAUCCGUCAGUCCCAUCAUUAGAGGGCAUGUCUCUGGCUGAACUCCCUUCCUUGAAAGCCCACCCAGUUGGCUUUGUACAGGUGUUUGUCAUUUGGUAGACAGGAGGCGCUGUCUUUCACUUGCCAUCAUGUCUUGGGUGUGUAUGAUGGAGUAAACACUGACAGGUUCAAUGGUAGAGAGCAAUGGUUCUCACACCCUAGUGCACAUCCAAAUCAGCCAGAGGUCUGGUAAAGUGCAGAGUACUGAAGAUGUUUACCAAGGGGUACAAACUGUCAGUUAUAAGAUGAGCAAGUGAGGGGUGUGGUGGUGCACCCGUCAUCCCAGUGGCUUGGGAGGCUGAGGCAGGAAGAUCACAAGUUCAAAGCCAGCCUCAGCAAAAGCAAGGUGCUAAGCAACUCAGUGAGACCCUGUCUCUAAAUAAAAUACAAAAUA
rnacentral:lncRNA from 1 species